rnacentral:lncRNA from 1 species
AACUCAGAGAGAGACUGACCAACAUUAGAAUGGCACAAAAAAUCUCACACAAAAAUACUUUAUGCAUGAAGAAAAGUGGUGGCAUGAAGAGAAGAGUCCAACUCAAUUUAGACUCUAAAUUUUCAUUCGAAUCAAACCCAUUUGAACUCAAAUUUAAACCAACAAAUUUUUUAUUCAAAAAAAAUUAGAUGUGGACAUGAAACAGCUUUUGGGCAUGAGAAAAUUUCACACAAAAUUUUUUUUUGCAUGAAGAAUAACAGGGUGUAGAGAAAGGA